CCUACGGGCGGCAGCAGUGAGGAAUAUUGGUCAAUGGACGCAAGUCUGAACCAGCCAUGCCGCGUGCAGGAUGACGGCUCUAUGAGUUGUAAACUGCUUUUGUACGAGGGUAAACCCCGAUACGUGUAUCGGGUUGAAAGUAUCGUACGAAUAAGGAUCGGCUAACUCCGUGCCAGCAGCCGCGGUAAUACGGAGGAUCCGAGCGUUAUCCGGAUUUAUUGGGUUUAAAGGGUGCGCAGGCGGAUUUUUAAGUCAGCGGUCAAAUCGUGGGGCUCAACCCCAUCCAGCCGUUGAAACUGGCGUUCUUGAGUGGGCGAGAAGUACGCGGAAUGCGUGGUGUAGCGGUGAAAUGCAUAGAUAUCACGCAGAACCCCGAUUGCGAAGGCAGCGUACCGGCGCCCGACUGACGCUGAAGCACGAAAGCGUGGGUAUCGAACAGGAUUAGAUACCCUGGUAGUC
rnacentral:rRNA from 1 species